rnacentral:lncRNA from 1 species
UAUAAACCAUGAACUUUCUGCUCUUUUUUAAACAACAGAGAGGGCAGUCAUCUUGUUGACACUCAGAGUUACAGAGGAGGAUGAGAGUGGAGAUGCCACAAAAAGCAGCUUUUGAGAGAGGUUCUCCUGAAGAUGAGAACUUGUGAAGGGGCUCCUUCGUGGCCCAAGUCCAUUCACUGUCAUAUGUCUGCUAGUGUGUGAUGUCUGGGAGAAGCUGGAAGUGAAAAAUAAUCAUCUGAAGUUGGGAUUUUUCUUAAUACAGUGUAAUCUGUUCCAGUUAACUAAAACAUACUGCAUUUUCAGGAGGGGAUAUUUCUGUGUCUAAUUCUAUGAAAAUUGAAAGGAAGUUCUCUUAUCUUCUUUGCAAUCUCAAGUGUGUAUUUCUAGGUAUUUGAGCAAGUGAAGUAAAAUAACGGCUUUAAAUUGUAAUUUCUUGCUUUCUGGAUAAUUUAGAUAACCCUUUAAAAGCUACCCUAGAAAAAUGUACAGCUACUUUCUCAUCCUGUAGAAAAGGAAGUUUUCAAGAUAAUUUUCAGAUUUAUUUUGUUUAAGUUGAUAUAUCUAUAUAGACAGAAUACAAGGAAGGUCCAAAAGUGGAAAAAAUGGUUAGAUGAACUGUGCAGCUGAACUGUACCUCCACUGCACUGUAUUAUGGCAGUGGAAGGCAAUUACUAACAAACUGUUUAACAGCAGGGGAAAAACUUCUCUUGUUGGGUGUCGUUCAGUAAGGUGCAGUUGCAAGAAACAGUUUGUCAUUUGAUCCCUAUGUGCUCUCCAUAUUACAUGUAUAAUGCAGGGUAUGAUUUAAGAGUAUUUUAUAGCUAUUGCUUCAAAGAAACUGCUUGCUAAUGCAUAUUGAGCUCUUUUUAUUAAAAAAAAAAAAAGUAAUAAUAAAAACGUAUGUGGAGAUGACUUAAAGAAAGCAGACUUGUGGACUGCUUCCACUCAGGUUACAUAAGGUAAUAUUUUGCUGUCUUACAUCAUGUCUGUUUAAAUUGUUAGGAAGCUUAGGAUUACACCAUUUCCUAGGGUUUAUAUAAUUAGAAGCUUGGGUUGAGCUAUAAAAUUAAGUACUUAUACUGGUAUGGUCAGCUUUAAUCUUGCUAACUGAAACUGUGCUGGACUGGUUUGCAUGGCCAGACAUUCCCACCUCUAGCAGAAGUGGAAAUGCAACUGUUAUACAGCACUUCAGCAAGACAAACUUUUUAAAGCACAGUACAAUUUUCCUUCUCAGUUUUGUUGCAAGAUUUGAAUAUUUUUGGUCCCUUUUAUAAUAGAUAAGAAAAAUGUAACUGGAUAUGAAAAAUAUGAAAUUUCGUCUGUUUUCACUGUUGAAACUUUGAAAGAUUUAAGUAAGCAAGCUGUGAAUGAAGGUGCUUUUUAACCCAAACUGUCAUUAGCUAUGUCCCCUGGAUGUUAAAAAUAAUCAAAACUUGCAGAUCAGCAAAAUGUUUCUGCCUGUUUGAGGAUUCCAAGUCUACUGUUGCCCCAACAGUAGGGUAUUAGUAGAUAAAUGUACCUGUUCUAGCUGUUUAUUCUUGGGGUUGGUAUGAAUUUGUAGUAUGUUGGAACAGAUGCGUUGGCACUGUUGGACUGAAAUCUCUGGCACAUACUAACCUGGUGAUGGCAGGAACAACUCUCACAGCUGUGAUGUCCUUCUGCUGCUGAUGCACAGCUAGUAGCCUCUCAAUAGAAUGGGAUGGUUGUGUUGGGCCAGAAACCUAGUCUUGAGACUGUUGUUGCUCUCAAUCAAAUUUUGUACGUUCUGCAAUUAAAUUACAAGGUGCCCUUGGACUGUGCAAGCAGAAUGGGGCUGUUGGAUCCUGAGGUUGUACUCAAUACAGUGCAGCAGCAGCCUCAAUUUCCAGUAUGGAAUGGCAAAGAAAAGCCAAAUGGGAAAAUCAAUGAGAAACCUUUCAUAGUUUAUUGAGGCAUAUUAAAGGGUGCA